rnacentral:lncRNA from 1 species
GGCAUAAGAAGUCUGUGUAUGGUAUAUUAGAGUGUGCAAUUUUUCUUCUUAGUGAUUGUUCCAUUUGUUAACUGAAUUUGCCCUUCUACAUCUGCCUUGGUACAUUAGAAAUUAUAUUGUAUGAGUGCAGAUAGAUGAUAAAGGAGUUGGUGGUAAUAUAAUUGCUAUCAUUUGGUUAAAAAAUUGUGCAGUGCUUGUUGCUGUUUGGUUUGCGUAUUUGGCCCUCUUUCGCUAACAUUCUUCUCUAAAUUCCUUGAUCAGGAUUAGGAAGGGGAAUAGGCAGAGGAGGUCGUCCUGGCAGGCGAACUUUUGGUAGGGGAAGCAGCCUUGAUCAUGAUUAGGAAGGGGAAUAGGCAGAGGAGGUCGUCCUGGCAGGCGAACUUUUGGUAGGGGAAGCAAUCCAGAUGGCAGAGUGAAAAGCAAUGGCUUUCGUGGAAUAUGAUGAUACUACAACAUGAAUGGUCAAACUUGCAUACUUAGUUACGAUUCUGCUGUUGAGAUCAAUAAGGAACAUGGUUACUGGUUAGCUUUUAUAUUUUUGAUGUUAUUGUCUUUCUAUGAAGAAUUAUAUUGCUACCAGUUCUCUUUUCCCUGAGCAUUUUGAGAGAGAUUUUUCCCAUCUUUCUCUUGUAGCUUAUAUUGGUCUUGGUGUUUAUGAUUACCAGUUGUACCCGUAUGAUAUUGAACUUAUAUUCCAAAUCUGGGUCUUGAUAAUGUGCUUUUGUAGAAGAACUAGGCUCAUGACUAGCAUCUUGUAUGUUCAUUAUUUUCUUUUUAUUGUUCGAUCAAUUUAUUUAGUCUAGACAUUCAAGAUAAAAGAUAAUGACUUUACUUAUCCUCUUUUGUAGGUGGAGUAGAUCAAGAAAUAGAAGAGGAAGGCAAUGAAGAUAUAGACCUUAUUUAAGAUGAAUUUUGAAUUGCUAUAAAUGAAUGUUCUAGUAAUCUUUUGUUGUCUGUAUUUUGAAACUUACUAUCUUGAAAUGUAUUAAACUUAUGAACUUGGUGUAGAACAUUUACUUUUAU